rnacentral:lncRNA from 1 species
CAAGGACGCACAUAGGACCUCUUUGCAUCCCAAGCACUACGGCACCAGCCAGAGGCAGCUCCUGCGGCUGCAGCUAACCCUCCUGGCUUCUGAGCAAGGCUGGGAGGGGCUUUGCUUUUUUCCGCUCAUCCACCCGAUGAUGAUGAACGGCCUUUCUCCUGCCAGAGCGCAGCACAGGAGGCUGUGUUGCAACGGGCACGCACAAAUCACCUGCUAAGGAUGACAGAAAAUAAGGCUGGGGGAGUUGUGAGAGGUGCUACAAGCCAUCCUUUUCAUCCGCAGGCUAGAUCAGCUAAUCUUAUGCCAUUCCUGAGAGAUGCCUGGAGGUUCCUGG